CUCAGCUCCUGGGGCUCCUGCUGCUCUGGAUUACAGGUGCCAGAUGUGACAUCCAGAUGACCCAGUCUACAUCCACUUUGUCUGCAUCUCCUGGAGACAGAGUCUCCAUCACUUGCCAGGCCAGUCAGAGCA